rnacentral:rRNA from 1 species
CCUACGGGAGGCAGCAGUGGGGAAUAUUGCACAAUGGGGGAAACCCUGAUGCAGCGACGCCGCGUGAGUGAAGAAGUAUUUCGGUAUGUAAAGCUCUAUCAGCCGGGAAGAAAAUGACGGUACCUGUUUAAGAAGCCCCGGCUAACUACGUGCCAGCAGCCGCGGUGAUACGUCGGGGGCAAGCGGUAUCCGGAUUUACUGGGGGUAAAGGGAGCGUAGACGGGAGCACAAGUCUGGAGUGAAAUGCCGGGGCUUAACCCCGGAACUGCUUUGGAAACUGUGCAGCUAGAGUGCAGGAGAGGUAAGUGGAAUUCCUGGUGUAGCGGUGAAAUGCGUAGAUAUUAGGAGGAACACCAGUGGCGAAGGCAGCUUACUGGACUGUAACUGACGUUGAGGCUCGAAAGCGUGGGUAGCAAACAGGAUUAGAUACCCCUGUAGUC